rnacentral:rRNA from 1 species
GGGGAAUUUUGGACAAUGGGGGCAACCCUGAUCCAGCCAUGCCGCGUGAGUGAAGAAGGCCUUCGGGUUGUAAAGCUCUUUCAGCCGGGAAGAAAACGCAUGGGUUAAUACCCUGUGUGGAUGACGGUACCGGAAUAAGAAGCACCGGCUAACUACGUGCCAGCAGCCGCGGUAAUACGUAGGGUGCGAGCGUUAAUCGGAAUUACUGGGCGUAAAGCGUGCGCAGGCGGUUUUGUAAGACAGGCGUGAAAUCCCCGGGCUCAACCUGGGAACUGCGUUUGUGACUGCAAGGCUAGAGUAUGGCAGAGGGGGGUGGAAUUCCACGUGUAGCAGUGAAAUGCGUAGAGAUGUGGAGGAACACCGAUGGCGAAGGCAGCCCCCUGGGCCAAUACUGACGCUCAUGCACGAAAGCGUGGGUAGCAAAC